UGCGACGAUAGAACCAGGGGUUGUUUUCAUGAAUGCAACCGGUGGGAUCUUGUUGCUCGCCACAAUCUGCCAUUAUGGGCAAGAAUGGGAACACUCAAUAUAUGAGGGUCAGUUAGAACUUGUUUCAUUGGUCGGUACAAUUGCUCCAUUUAAGGAUGGGGUUCUAAGUGGCAAAAAGGUAGGAUGAAUAUCACGUUACUUUGUCCUGAUGGGGAGCACUCAGUGGUAGAGUAGAAGGUCCAACGAUUGCUGCAUGCAGGCGUUGUACAUAUCAAUCUUUCUUGCUCGUCCCAUGAUGAACUAUGAUGGAGGGAAAAUUUAGCACUUUGAUAACUUCUUGUAAAUUGAGAGUAUUGUAGUUGUGUUGCUGUAAACUUAAUGUUCUGUUGAUAUUUAUUAUGGAGGAUGUUGUUAUUUGUUGUA